AUGUCCAUCCGUUUCGUUUCAGGUUAAAGGGACCAUGAAAUGAUUUUAGAGAAUUCCGAGUGCUCUGCAGAAAACCGUUCGCAUGAUCCAUCACUAUCGUACACACAUCGACUUUUAACUGUAUUCAGUACAACGGGGGUGCAGUUGUCAGACAAAAAUAACAGGGCGUGACCGCUGGAUAUAUGCCUUCUAAGUGGGCUUACGUCAUCGCCAUCCAAUCCACUCAGCCAACUGUGAACGACGAGGAAGACACACCCCGCAGGACCACGUGUGUGCAUGGUUUCGGUUUGGACAACAACGGCGUUGUAUAUCUCCCGUCGAAAUCACUUAAAAUAUGACGAAAGGCAAAUUAUCAGCAAUGGAGGAAGAGGUUAUGCGACACACACAGCGUCUAUGGAUCGUUCGGUACGCAGCACCUCGUAAAAUGUCACGAAGGUAUGUUCCGACGACGAAAAAGUUCAAAGGGGAAAAAGUGCUCCGGUAACCAUGCUGACAGUCAACGGCUAUAUUACAUUUCUCGUAGGAUUCUGUGUAAACGGUUAGUUACAAUCUUGUCUUCAAGUCAAAUUAAAACAUAUUUCAUGAUGAAGUAUGCAAGCUUGUUUGAAAAUUUUACACUUUGCUCGCAAAAGCCCGUCCGCGAAUCGGCAACAUGUUCUGUGUAUGAUGUCACGGCCAGUUCGCCUCGGAGGCGGGCCGUAGCAGCCGCUGUUCACGCCUGUGGUAAAUAUAGAAUAUUUUCACUAUCUGUACGAUUUUCAACUUCAUGUUUCGCAGAGUGAAUGCUUUAUUACAGGGGAACUAAUUAAAAAUGUUUGUGGGCUUGUCAAGUAUCGUUUCAUGGUCCCUUUAAAGCAGCAUGGAAGGCUGAAAAAAAAAAAGAAAAAAAUUGGGAGAAGUAGAAACUGAGACUACGUAGAAGCUCGUUAGAUUUUUUAAUAAAAAGACUACGAAAGCUACAGAGAUAUCGUUUCUGCAGUUGAGUUAUAUAACCAGGCAGAUAUCUCCUCGAAGAGUGUAUGUAACUACAAGAUGACUACCUACCUAAAAUUCCUUAACAAACUAGUUAAUUAGGGGGAUUGUGGGCAAAAAAAUGCGGUCUGAUCGUAGCGGUCACUGGCACCUACUUGACGGACAAUGCUCCCGGGCCAACUCGUUCUGGUCAGCGCCCUGUCCCUUUGCCCCCAAAGAAUCAGCGAAUGGAAGGAACAGCCGAAUCAUGACCCAGCCAGUCUCUGUUCAAGAUAUCAAUUCCCUUCAUUUAUGAUUGACGUAUCUUUUGUUGUUACGUCAUCUUACGAAAUCCCAUUUGAACGUUUCACAAAGAAGCAAGGAAUGGGACGCCCAUUUUGGCAGUUCUGUGCCUGCAUGCUUAAUCACUUCCUUUGCUUGACGAUAGAUUUGCAUGACCACUUCCUCAGACCUUGCCCUCGUGACAAGGACAUCUAUGUAGAAUCCACGCUAUAGCAGCGGCACAGUGCUCCGAAAUUCUUCAUGUAGCGAGGACACUCCAAACAGUACCCGUGUCAUGCGCCAUUCCUCAACAUUGAACCUAGGAGCCUGAUCAGACAACGGUUCUGCUAUCCACAGGAACUGAAUGAAGUCACGAUCUUCUGGGCGUACGCUUUUUUGAAGGUAGGCCUUUUUCAUGUCGGCGACGAGCGCAACUUCGUACAGGCGAAAGUCGACGAAAAGCUGUACAAGUGUGUUAUUUAAGUUGGGACCAUUGUCCAAGAUGUCACUUAACGACGAUGAUGCAUCGAAUAUCAUGCGUAGCUUUGUGAUGACGCACAAGGAAUAGGCAUAAUAGGCCUUCAUACAGCGCUGGACUGAACAUCACUGGUUGUGAAUAAGCUCUUUGCAACUUUGCACUUGGGUCAUAAAAAAAUAUUUGGCACUUUC